rnacentral:rRNA from 1 species
GACGAACGCUGGCGGCGUGCUUAACACAUGCAAGUCGAACGAUGAAGCCUAGCUUGCUAGGUGGAUUAGUGGCGAACGGGUGAGUAAUACGUGAGUAACCUACCGUUAACUCUGGGAUAAGCCGGGGAAACUGGGUCUAAUACCGGAUACGACCAAUCUCCGCAUGGGGUGUUGGUGGAAAGCGUUAUGUAGUGGUUAUAGAUGGGCUCACGGCCUAUCAGCUUGUUGGUGAGGUAACGGCUCACCAAGGCGACGACGGGUAGCCGGCCUGAGAGGGUGACCGGCCACACUGGGACUGAGACACGGCACAGCCUCCUACGGGAGGCAGCAGUGGGGAAUAUUGCACAAUGGGCGGAAGGCUGAUGCAGCGACGCCGCGUGAGGGAUGACGGCAUUCGGGUUGUAAACCUCUGUUAGCAGGGAAGAAGAGAAAUUGACGGUACCUGCAGAGAAAGCGCCGGCUAACUACGUG